rnacentral:misc_RNA from 1 species
GAUGAAGAAACGCAGCGAAAUGCGAUAAGUAGUGUGAAUUGCAGAAUUCAGUGAAUCAUCGAAUCUUUGAACGCACAUUGCGCCCCUUGGUAUUCCGAGGGGCAUGCCUGUUCGAGCGUCAUUAUAACCCCUCAAGCUCAGCUUGGUGUUGGGGCCUGCUGCACUGGCAGCCCUUAAAAUCAGUGGCGGCGCCAUCUGGCUCUAAGCGUAGUAAUUCUUCUCGCUAUGGAGUCCUGGUGGAUGCUUGCCAUCAACCCCCAAUUUUUCUAUGGUUGACCUCGGAUCAGGUAGGGAUACCCGCUGAACUUAAGCAUAUCAAUAAGCGGAGGA